rnacentral:misc_RNA from 1 species
UCCGAGUUGACCCCGGCAGUCUCCUAUGAGUCCCCGGCAUAACCCGCUGGCAGCAUAGGACGAGGGUUGCGCUCGUUGCGGGACUUAACCCAACAUCUCACGACACGAGCUGACGACAACCAUGCACCACCUGUGCACUGGCCCCGAAGGGCUGCCGUAUUUCUACGACAUUCCAGUGCAUGUCAAGCCUUGGUAAGGUUCUUCGCGUCGCGUCGAAUUAAACCACAUGCUCCGCUGCUUGUGCGGGCCCCCGUCAAUUCCUUUGAGUUUUAAUCUUGCGACCGUACUCCCCAGGCGGAAUGCUUAAUGCGUUAGCGUCGUCACGGAAGGAGUCGACACCUCCCACAACUAGUGCCCAUCGUUUACGGCGUGGACUAC